rnacentral:rRNA from 1 species
UAGGGAAUCUUCCACAAUGGACGAAAGUCUGAUGGAGCAACGCCGCGUGAGUGAAGAAGGUUCUCGGAUCGUAAAACUCUGUUGUGAGGGAAGAACAAGUACCGGAGUAACUGCCGGUACCUUGACGGUACCUCAUUAGAAAGCCACGGCUAACUACGUGCCAGCAGCCGCGGUAAUACGUAGGUGGCAAGCGUUGUCCGGAAUCAUUGGGCGUAAAGCGCGCGCAGGCGGUCCCUUAAGUCUGAUGUGAAAGCCCACGGCUCAACCGUGGAGGGUCAUUGGAAACUGGGGGACUUGAGUGCAGAAGAGGAAAGCGGAAUUCCAAGUGUAGCGGUGAAAUGCGUAGAGAUUUGGAGGAACACCAGUGGCGAAGGCGGCUUUCUGGUCUGUAACUGACGCUGAGGCGCGAAAGCGUGGGGAGCAAACAGG